AUACGAAAGGUGCAAGCGUUGUUCGGAUUUACUGGGCGUAAAGAGAUCGUAGGUGGUUUGUUAAGUCGGAUGUGAAAUCCCGGGCCUCAACCCCGGAACUGCAUUCGAUACUGGCAGACUAGAGUUUGGGAGGGGUAAGCGGAAUUCCGUGUGUAGCAGUGAAAUGCGUAGAUAUACGGAGGAACACCUGAGGCGAAGGCGGCUUACUGGACCAAUACUGACACUGAGGAUCGAAAGCGUGGGUAGCAAACAGGAUUAGGUACCCUAGUAGUCC
rnacentral:rRNA from 1 species